rnacentral:rRNA from 1 species
AGCAGCCGCGGUAAUUCCAGCUCCAAUAGCGUAUAUUAAAGUUGUUGCAGUUAAAAAGCUCGUAGUUGAAUUUCGGGGUUAGUAGGUUGGUCAUGCCUCUGGUAUGUACUGGUCUCACUGAUUCCUCCUUCCUGAUGAGCCGUAAUGCCAUUAAUUUGGUGUUGCGGGGAAUUUGGACUGUUACUUUGAAAAAUUAGAGUGUUUAAAGCAAGCUAACGCUUGAAUACAUUAGCAUGGAAUAAUGAAAUAGGACGUUCGAUCCUAUUUUGUUGGUUUCUAGGAUUGACGUAAUGAUUAAUAGGGAUAGUUGGGGGCAUUAGUAUUCAAUUGUCAGAGGUGAAAUUCUUGGAUUUAUUGAAGACUAACUACUGCGAAAGCAUUUGCCAAGGAUGUUUUCAUUAAUCAAGAACGAAAGUUAGGGGAUCGAAGACGAUCAGAUACCGUCGUAGUCUUAACCAUAAACUAUGCCGACUAGGGAUCGGAUGAUGUUAAUUUUUAAUGUACUCA